UUGAACGCUGGCGGCAGGCCUCACACCUGCCAGUCGAGCGGAUGAAGGGAGCUUGCUCCUGGAUUCAGCGGCGGACGGGUGAGUAAUGCCUAGGAAUCUGCCUGGUAGUGGGGGAUAACGUCCGGAAACGGGCGCUAAUACCGCAUACGUCCUGAGGGAGAAAGUGGGGGAUCUUCGGACCUCACGCUAUCAGAUGAGCCUAGGUCGGAUUAGCUAGUUGGUGGGGUAAAGGCCUACCAAGGCGACGAUCCGUAACUGGUCUGAGAGGAUGAUCAGUCACACUGGAACGGAGACACGGUCCAGACGCCUACGGGAGGCAGCAGUGGGGAAUAUUGGACAAUGGGCGAAAGCCUGAUCCAGCCAUGCCGCGUGUGUGAAGAAGGUCUUCGGAUUGUAAAGCACUUUAAGUUGGGAGGAAGGGCAGUAAGUUAAUACCUUGCUGUUUUGACGUUACCAACAGAAUAAGCACCGGCUAACUUCGUG
rnacentral:rRNA from 1 species